UACGUAGGGUGCAAGCGUUGUCCGGAAUUAUUGGGCGUAAAGAGCUCGUAGGCGGUCUGUCGCGUCUGCUGUGAAAACUCAGGGCUUAACCCUGAGCUUGCAGUGGGUACGGGCAGACUAGAGUGCGGUAGGGGAGACUGGAAUUCCUGGUGUAGCGGUGAAAUGCGCAGAUAUCAGGAGGAACACCGGUGGCGAAGGCGGGUCUCUGGGCCGUAACUGACGCUGGAGGAAGCGAAAGCAUGGGGAGCAAACGGG
rnacentral:rRNA from 1 species